rnacentral:rRNA from 1 species
UACCAGCACCCCGAGUGGUCGGGACGUUUAUUGGGCCUAAAGCAUCCGUAGCCGGUUCUACAAGUCUUCCGUUAAAUCCACCUGCUUAACAGAUGGGCUGCGGAAGAUACUAUGGAGCUAGGAGGCGGGAGAGGCAAGCGGUACUCGAUGGGUAGGGGUAAAAUCCGUUGAUCCAUUGAAGACCACCAGUGGCGAAGGUGGCUUGCCAGAACGCGCUCGACGGUGAGGGAUGAAAGCUGGGGGAGCAAACCGG